rnacentral:rRNA from 1 species
GAUGAACGCUGGCGGCGUGCCUAAUACAUGCAAGUCGAGCGAAGCGGGGGCGGGUGAGUAACACGUGGAUAACCUCCUAUAAGACUGGGAUAACUUCGGGAAACCGGAGCUAAACCGGAUCCUUAUCGAUGGAUCCGGGCUUCAUUAGCUAGUUGGUAAGGUAACGGCUUACCAAGGCAACGAUGCAUAGCCGACCUGAGAGGAUGAUCGGCCACACUGGAACUGAGACACGGUCCAGACUCCUACGGGAGGCAGCAGUAGGGAAUAUUCCGCAAUGGGCGAAAGCCUGACGGAGCAACGCCGCGUGAGUGAUGAAGGUCUUCGGAUCGUAAAGCUCUGUUAGUAGGGAAGCGGUACCUAAGCAGAAAGCAACGGCUAACUACGUGCCAGCAGCCGCGGUAAUUC